rnacentral:rRNA from 1 species
CCCCACUGCUAUCGGGAUGGGACUAAGACAUGCUAGUCGUGCGUCUCCAAGCCAUGGCGGAGACGCGGCGCACAGCUCAGUAACACGUGGCUAACCUGCCCUUAGGACAGGGACAACCCCGGGAAACUGGGGCUAAUCCCUGAUAGGUGAGGGUUCCUGGAAUGGGCCCUCGCCGAAAGGGCGCCUAGACCAUGCUUCUAGGCGCUGCCCAAGGAUGGAGCCGCGGCCGAUCAGGUUGUUGGUGAGGCAACGGCUCACCAAGCCUUUAACCGGUACGGGCCGUGAGAGCGGGAGCCCGGAGAUGGGUACUGAGACAAGGACCCAGGCCCUACGGGGCGCAGCAGUCGCGAAAACUCCGCAAUACGCGAAAGCGUGACGGGGCUAUCCCGAGUGCCGUCCGCUGAGGAUGGCUUUUCCCUAGUGUAUAAAGCUGGGGGAAUAAGGAGAGGGCAAGCCUGGUGUCAGCCGCCGCGGUAAUACCAGCUCUCCGAGUGGUGGGGAUGCUUAUUGGGCCUAAAGCAUUCGUAGCCGGUUGGGCAAGUCCUCCGUUAAAUCCAGCGAUUCAAUCGUUGGACUGCGGGGGAUACUGCCCGGCUUGGGGGCGGAAGAGGCCGACGGUAUUCUCGGGGUAGGGGUGAAAUCCUAUAAUCCCGGGAGGACCACCAGUGGCGAAGGCUGUCGGCUAGAACGCGCCCGACGGUGAGGGAUGAAAGCUGGGGGAGCGAACCGGAUUAGAUACCCGGGUAGUCCCAGCUGUAAACGAUGCAGGCUAGGUGUUGGCGCGGCUACGUGCCGCUCCAGUGCCGCAAGGAAGCCGUUAAGCCUGCCGCCUGGGAAGUACGGCCGCAAGGCUGAAACUUAAAGGAAUUGGCGGGGGAGCACCACAAGGGGUGAAGGCUUGCGGUUU